rnacentral:rRNA from 1 species
UGGUGAAUAUUGGACAAUGGGCGCAAGCCUGAUCCAGCCAUGCCGCGUGUGUGAAGAAGGCCUUUUGGUUGUAAAGCACUUUAAGCGAGGAGGAGGCUACUUGGAUUAAUACUCUAGGAUAGUGGACGUUACUCGCAGAAUAAGCACCGGCUAACUCUGUGCCAGCAGCCGCGGUAAUACAGAGGGUGCGAGCGUUAAUCGGAUUUACUGGGCGUAAAGCGUGCGUAGGCGGCUUUUUAAGUCGGAUGUGAAAUCCCUGAGCUUAACUUAGGAAUUGCAUUCGAUACUGGGAAGCUAGAGUAUGGGAGAGGAUGGUAGAAUUCCAGGUGUAGCGGUGAAAUGCGUAGAGAUCUGGAGGAAUACCGAUGGCGAAGGCAGCCAUCUGGCCUAAUACUGACGCUGAGGUACGAAAGCAUGGGGAGCAAACAGG